rnacentral:tRNA from 1 species
GGGCUUUUAGCUCAGUUGGUUAGAGCAACAGACUCAUAAUCUGGAGGUCCCUGGUUCAAGCCCAGGAUGGCCCA